rnacentral:lncRNA from 1 species
UCAUGUGGAACAUUGGGUACUGCGGUAUUACCGGUGCCGGUGGUGGUGGCUUUUUCUCCUGCUCCGGUGGAGGUGUCGCAGGUUUUUUCUCAGGCGGAGGUGUCGCGGGCUUUUUCUCAGGCGGAGGCGUUGUGGGCUUUUUCUCAGGAGGAGGCGUUGCGGGCUUUUUCUCAGGCUGAGGCGUUGCGGGUUUCUUCUCAGGAGGAGGCGUUGCGGGUUUCUUCUCAGGAGGAGGCGUUGCGGGUUUCUUCUCAGGAGGAG